GAACUCACUUUAGCAGCACAUAUGCUAUAAUUGGAACAAUAAAAAGAAGAUCAGCUCAGCCCCAUCAUACGGAUGACACUAAAAUUCAUGAAACAUCCUGUACUUUU